rnacentral:rRNA from 1 species
AACGAACGCUGGCGGCGUGCUUAACACAUGCAAGUCGAACGGUAAGGCCCUUCGGGGUACACGAGUGGCGAACGGGUGAGUAACACGUGGGUGAUCUGCCCUGCACUUCGGGAUAAGCCUGUGAAACUGGGUCUAAUACCGGAUAGGACCACUGCCUGCAUGGGUGGUGGUGGAAAGCUUUUGCGGUGUGGGAUGGGCCCGCGGCCUAUAAGCUUGUUGGGGGGGUGAUGGACUACCAAGGCGACGACGGGUCGCCGGCCUGCGAGGGUGACCGGCCACACUGGGACUGAGAUACGGCCCAGGCUCCUACGGGAGGCAGCAGUGGGGAAUAUUGCACAAUGGGCGCAAGCCUGAUGCAGCGACGCCGCGUGAGGGAUGACGGCCUUCGGGUUGUAAACCUCUUUCAGCACCGACGAAGCGCAAGUGACGGUAGGUGCAGAAGAAGGACCGGCCAACUACGUGCCAGCCGCCGCCGUAAUAC